rnacentral:rRNA from 1 species
UACGGGGGGGGCAAGCGUUGUUCGGAAUUACUGGGCGUAAAGGGUUCGUAGGUGGCUUGCUAAGUCAGACGUGAAAUCCCUCAGCUUAACUGGGGAACUGCGUCUGAUACUGGCGAGCUUGAGUGCAGGAGAGGAACGCAGAAUUCCAGGUGUAGCGGUGAAAUGCGUAGAUAUCAGGAGGAAUACCGAUGGCGAAGGCAGGUCUCUGGGCUGACACUGACGCUCAUGCACGAAAGCGUGGGGAGCAAACAGG